rnacentral:rRNA from 1 species
AACGAACGCUGGCGGCAUGCCUAACACAUGCAAGUCGAACGAAGCCUUCGGACUUAGUGGCGCACGGGUGCGUAACGCGUGGGAAUCUGCCCCUUGCUUCGGAAUAACAGUUAGAAAUGACUGCUAAUACCGGAUGAUGUCUUCGGACCAAAGAUUUAUCGGCAAGGGAUGAGCCCGCGUAGGAUUAGGUAGUUGGUGGGGUAAAGGCCUACCAAGCCGACGAUCCUUAGCUGGUCUGAGAGGAUGAUCAGCCACACUGGGACUGAGACACGGCCCAGACUCCUACGGGAGGCAGCAGUGGGGAAUAUUGGACAAUGGGGGGAACCCUGAUCCAGCAAUGCCGCGUGAGUGAUGAAGGCCUUAGGGUUGUAAAGCUCUUUUACCAGGGAUGAUAAUGACAGUACCUGGAGAAUAAGCUCCGGCUAACUCCGUGCCAGCCGCCGCAAUAAAAC